UGUGGCUGAUUAAGGUGGUAAAUUGUAGAUUUAUUAAUAGGGUGACCUCAUUGCUAGGUAA
rnacentral:tRNA from 1 species